rnacentral:rRNA from 1 species
UUGGAGGGCAAGUCUGGUGCCAGCAGCCGCGGUAAUUCCAGCUCCAAUAGCGUAUAUUAAAGUUGUUGCAGUUAAAAAGCUCGUAGUUGAAUUUCGGGAUCAAUACGUCGGUCGUGCUUCGGUACGUACUGGCGUAAUUGAUUUCUCCCUUCUGACGAACCAUGAUGUCAUUAACUUGGUGUCAUGGGAAAUCAGGACUGUUACUUUGAAAAAAUUAGAGUGUUUAAAGCAGGCUCACGCUUGAAUACAUUAGCAUGGAAUAAUGAAAUAGGACGUUCGAUCCUAUUUUGUUGGUUUUUAGGAUCAACGUAAUGAUUAAUAGGGAUAGUUGGGGGCAUUAGUAUUCAAUUGUCAGAGGUGAAAUUCUUGGAUUUAUUGAAGACUAACUACUGCGAAAGCAUUUGCCAAGGAUGUCUUCAUUAAUCAAGAACGAAAGUUAGGGGAUCGAAGACGAUCAGAUACCGUCGUAGUCUUAACCAUAAACUAUGCCGACUAGGGAUCGGAUGAUGUUAAUUUUUUAAUGACUCAUUCGGCGCCUUACGGGAAAC